AUUGGAUGAGCCUGCGUCGGAUUAGCUAGUUGGUGGGGUAAUGGCCUACCAAGGCGACGAUCCGUAGCUGGUCUGAGAGGAUGAUCAGCCACACUGGGACUGAGACACGGCCCAGACUCCUACGGGAGGCAGCAGUGGGGAAUAUUGCGCAAUGGGGGAAACCCUGACGCAGCCAUGCCGCGUGUGUGAAGAAGGCNUUAGGGUUGUNAAGCGCUUUCGAAUNGGGANAAAACGCCNGUAGAU
rnacentral:rRNA from 1 species